rnacentral:rRNA from 1 species
GAUGAACGCUGGCGGCGUGCUUAACACAUGCAAGUCGAACGGAAAGGCUCCUGCUUGCAGGGGUACUCGAGUGGCGAACGGGUGAGUAACACGUGGGUGAUCUGCCCUGCACUUCGGGAUAAGCCUGGGAAACUGGGUCUAAUACCGGAUAGGACGAUGGUUUGGAUGCCAUUGUGGGAAGUUUUUCGGUGUGGGAUGAGCUCGCGGCCUAUCAGCUUGUUGGUGGGGUAAUGGUCUACCAAGGCGUCGACGGGUAGCCCGCCUGAGAGGGUGUACGGCCACAAUGGGACUGCGAGACGGCGCAGACGGGUACGUGAGGCAGCAGUGGGGAAUAUUGCACAAUAGGCGCGAGCGCGAUGCAGCGACGCCGCGUGGGGGAUGACGGCCUUCGGGGUGUAAACUCCUUUCGCUAGAGACGAAGCGCAAGUGACGGUACCUGGAGAAGAAGCACCGGCUAACUACGUG